rnacentral:misc_RNA from 1 species
UCUCCGUAGGUGAACCUGCGGAGGGAUCAUUACAGAGUUCAUGCCCUACCGGGUAGAUCUCCCACCCUAUGUUAUUAUUGCUUUGUUGCUUUGGCGGGCCGUUAGGCUCCGGCCCGACUACCGGCCCCGGCUGGUAAGCGCCCGCCAGAGGACCCAAAACCCUGAAUAUUAGUGUCGUCCGAGUACUAUAUAAUAGUUAAAACUUUCAACAACGGAUCUCUUGGUUCUG